UUUUAGCCCUGAUGGAAGUGGCAUCUCCCGAUUUUAAAAACAAGGCUUUUUUGCCGUAGUUUUUUAAGCGGGAAUAUAACGGACAGCAGGAAUAGCU
rfam:Flavobacterium sp. FPG59 Contig_257, whole genome shotgun sequence.